rnacentral:lncRNA from 10 species
UUCCUGAACAAAAUUACUAUUGAUUUUUAACAUAGUUAGGUUGGGCGCAGUGGCUGACGCCUGUAAAUCCCAGCACUUUGGGCGGCCGAGGCGGGUGGAUCACAAGAUUAGGAGAUCGAGACCAUCCCGGUUAACGUGGUGAAAUCCUGGCUCUACUAAAAAUACAAAAAAUUAGCUGGGCAUGGUGGCGGGCGCCUGUAGUCCCAGCUACUCGGGAGGCUGAGGCAGGAGAAUCGCUUGAACCUGGGAGGUGGAGGUUGCAGUGAGCUGAGAUCGUGGCACUGCACUCCAGCCAGGGCAACAGAGCGAGACUCCAUCUCAAAAAAAAUACACAAAACAAAACAAAACAAACAUAGUUGAUGCUUGUGUUUUAGUUUUACAUGUUGCUAUUCCAACAUUUAGUAGGGAUGCAAUAGCCAAGACUCAAGCUUCCCACAAGGAAUUAAACAAUUUGAACUUUGCUUUGUCCACCAAAACAUUCAUCCCAUUAUGGUUUUAUGUAAAAUAAGCCUUAUUUUCUGUCUAUAAAUAGAUUAUUUCAAAACGUUAAUUAGUGUGGCCAGACCUGAUAAUAGUUUCCUGAUUUAUAACUAGAUCUUUUAAUUUAUCUAACCUUAAAGCUUUGUAUUAUUCUUUUCUCCUUAUGAACUUAUUGCCAUUUCGAUCAAGCUUGUCCAAUCCUCAACCCACAGGCUGCAUGCGGCUCAGGACGGCUUUGAACGUGGCCCAGCCUAAAUUUGUAAACUUUCUUAAAACAUUAUGAGAUUUUUUUUUUUUGCGUGUUUUUUCUUCUUUUAGUUCAUCAGUUAUUGUUAGUGUUAGUGUAUUUGAUGUGUAUCCCAAAGAUAAUUCUUUUUCUUCCAGUGUGGCCCAGGGAAGCCAAUGUGGAUACCCCUGAUUUAGAUGAUAGUCCGCUUCUGCCACUUCGUUGAGCUUCAUUUAUCUGAUCUGCCACAUGCAAAGGUUAGGGGACAUCCUCUUCAGCUGCAAUGUAGUCUUCUGGGAUCUAAUUAUGAUGUCUCUUGGAAUCUGGCCCACAUACAAGAAUUCAAGCUGGUUUUCCAGGGUGGAGACCAUGAAGAAAUCCCAAUCGGAUUCACUGGAAUUCAUUUGGGUACUGUGAAGAAGAUGCCUGUGAUGAUAUGCGGUUGAACAUUGUUUUCACAUUUAAUGAAGUAAUGGCUAG